UCUAUUGUAAUACCCCAAUAUUUUAUAAUUUUGUAAAAUAUAUUUUAUAGUCAAACUAUAAUUAUAUCCGUUUUUAGCUAGUCUCUUUUAAUAUUUUCAGAAGUUUAAAAACGCUAUUUUAAAAUUAGUAGGACUCUUAUUACGAGUACCUAUAUAUAACCCAUUAACCCUAAAUAUCUGGCCGUCCUAUUCUAUCUUUGCUUCUUCCGCCUUCUCGUUUCUAUGGUUCUACGUGUAGACUUUUAGAUCAAAUCAAGUUUUGAUCUUUUCUCCAAUAUCACUGUACAUAUGAUAUUCAUGUAAGACCCACUAAUCUUCUUUAUCAAAUCCAUUUUGUUUUCGAUUGUUAAUCUCCAUAAGCCUUUUAUAAAAAUAUUCCAUCAUGUUCCAUGGGAUGAUCUCAUCAUCUCAAAUUUGUUAAUGCUUUUGUCAAACCCAUAUACUUCAUUACUUCUUGUCAACAUUGCGUAUCCACCACCGCCGUUCGUAUCUAAUCAGCUCUUCCAACUAUCGUGUGUCGUGGGUGGCGAUGUAUUGUGAAAUUGUGAUAUUGGUACUAUCAUCUCGGAAGUCAAGAUUGACUGGAGCAGAUUGAUCAUGAAGGAUGCAGUUAUAAGUUAAAGGAGUUCCAGUAUUAUCGUUUAUUCUUGUAUGACAGUUUAGUGUUUUUCAGUUGUAAAUAGACCACCUAGUAACCGAGUUGUAAUAGUUUAAGUUUUGUAAGCCUUAGCACUUGACAAUGUGGUCAAGUGUGGCGGUGAUACCUCCGAUUUAGGUGUAAGCUUCCGCAAUUUAUUAUAAAGUCUUUUAUAUUCUUAUUUAUUAAUAGUUAGUAAAUCGGGGGUGUUACAAAAUGGUAUCAGAGCCUAUCCGGUCUUGAAUUUACACAGGGAUCUUCAUAUCCCAGUGUCUGGUUUGAGUUUUAGGAUUGAAAUGACUAAUCAAGAGUUAAGCUUAAAAGAUGUAGGACAAGCCGUUUUAAGAGAGUCUAUCUUUCUAUGUGUUAGUUAUGUGCUACUUGUGAUGUGAUUAUGUGACUAGUUUAGAGUUCGGGGACGAACUCCUUUUUAAGGGGGAUAGAAUGUAAUAUCCCGAAUAUUUUAUGUAGUAAAGUUUAGUAUAUAUUUUCGUUUUGUUUUAAAAAAAAAAAAUCUUUAAUUAGCGUUUGAAAUUAAAGUCACAAAGUUUUUCUAACUUAAGUUCCGGGAAAAACUUCUUUUAAAGAGGGUAUAUUUAAUAAUCUAUAUCUUUCUAAUUUUAAGUUUCGGGACGAAACUUCUUUUAAGGGGGAUAGAUUGUAAUACCCCAAUAUUUUAUAAUUUUGUAAAAUAUAUUUUAUAGUCAAACUAUAAUUAUAUCCGUUUUUAGCUAGUCUCUUUUAAUAUUUUCAGAAGUUUAAAAACGCUAUUUUAAAAUUAGUAGGACUCUUAUUACGAGUACCUAUAUAUAACCCAUUAACCCUAAAUAUCUGGCCGUCCUAUUCUAUCUUUGCUUCUUCCGCCUUCUCGUUUCUAUGGUUCUACGUGUAGACUUUUAGAUCAAAUCAAGUUUUGAUCUUUUCUCCAAUAUCACUGUACAUAUGAUAUUCAUGUAAGACCCACUAAUCUUCUUUAUCAAAUCCAUUUUGUUUUCGAUUGUUAAUCUCCAUAAGCCUUUUAUAAAAAUAUUCCAUCAUGUUCCAUGGGAUGAUCUCAUCAUCUCAAAUUUGUUAAUGCUUUUGUCAAACCCAUAUACUUCAUUACUUCUUGUCAACAUUGCGUAUCCACCACCGCCGUUCGUAUCUAAUCAGCUCUUCCAACUAUCGUGUGUCGUGGGUGGCGAUGUAUUGUGAAAUUGUGAUAUUGGUACUAUCAUCUCGGAAGUCAAGAUUGACUGGAGCAGAUUGAUCAUGAAGGAUGCAGUUAUAAGUUAAAGGAGUUCCAGUAUUAUCGUUUAUUCUUGUAUGACAGUUUAGUGUUUUUCAGUUGUAAAUAGACCACCUAGUAACCGAGUUGUAAUAGUUUAAGUUUUGUAAGCCUUAGCACUUGACAAUGUGGUCAAGUGUGGCGGUGAUACCUCCGAUUUAGGUGUAAGCUUCCGCAAUUUAUUAUAAAGUCUUUUAUAUUCUUAUUUAUUAAUAGUUAGUAAA